CCAGCCGCCGGUCGCCGAGGGGCGGUGGGAAAGGAGGAGCGCGAGCGAGAGGGCCCCGCAGACUGGCGCCCGCCCGGGCGCAGCGCGGCAUGUAGCUGCGGGCUCCCGCGCCCGCGCGAGGGUGUCGGCCCGGGGCCCCGCCAUGGCUGGAAAGGACAGUGGGAACCUGAAGACGGUGAGGCUGUGGCGGGACGCCGCCCUGCGCGCCAGGAAGCUGCGGAGCAACCUGCGCCAGCUCACCCUCAGCGCGGCCGGGGCCGACCAGAUCGACUCCCCCGACGCCCCCCAGCUCGUGCUGCCGGCCAACAUCGGGGACAUUGAGGUGCUGAACCUGGGCAACAACGGCCUGGAGGAGCUGCCCGACGGGCUGGGGUCGGCGCUGGGCAGCCUGCGCGUCCUGAUCCUGCGCAGGAACCGCUUCGCCCGGCUGCCCCCGGCGGUGGCCGAGUUGGGCCACCACCUCACCGAGCUGGACGUGAGCCACAACCGGCUGACCGCCCUGGGCGCGGAGGUGGUGAGUGCCCUGCGGGAGCUGCGCAAGCUCAACCUCAGCCACAACCAGCUGCCCGCCCUGCCCGCGCAGCUGGGCGCCCUUGCCCACCUGGAGGAGCUGGAUGUCAGCUUUAACAGGCUGGCGCACCUGCCCGACUCCCUGUCCUGCCUCUACCGCCUGCGCACCCUCGACGUGGACCACAACCAGCUCACUGCUUUUCCCCGGCAGCUGCUGCAGCUGGCGGCCCUGGAGGAGCUGGACGUGUCCAGCAACCGGCUGCGGGGCCUACCUGAGGAUAUCAGUGCCCUGCGUGCCCUCAAGAUCCUCUGGCUGAGUGGGGCUGAGCUUGGCACCCUGCCCAGCGGCUUCUGUGAGCUGGCCAGCCUGGAGAGCCUCAUGCUAGAUAACAACGGGCUGCAGGCUCUGCCCGCCCAGUUCAGCCGUCUGCAGCGGCUCAAAAUGCUCAAUCUCUCCUCCAACCUCUUUGAGGAGUUCCCUGCCGCGCUGCUGCCCCUGGCUGGUCUGGAGGAGCUCUACCUUAGUCGCAACCAGCUCACCUCAGUGCCAUCCCUUAUCUCGGGCCUGGGCCGGCUUCUCACCCUGUGGCUGGAUAAUAACCGGAUCCGCUACCUACCCGACUCUAUCGUGGAGCUCACGGGUCUGGAGGAGCUAGUGCUGCAGGGGAACCAGAUCGCCGUGCUGCCAGACAACUUUGGCCAGCUCUCCCGGGUGGGCCUGUGGAAGAUCAAGGACAACCCACUGAUCCAGCCCCCCUACGAGGUCUGUAUGAAGGGGAUUCCCUACAUCGCAGCCUACCAGAAGGAGCUGGCUCAUUCCCAGCCGGCAGUGCAGCCCCGCCUCAAGCUGCUCCUGAUGGGCCACAAGGGUGCAGGAAAGACCUUGCUCCGCCACUGCCUCACCGAGGAGAGAGUGGAGGGAAGCCAGGGCGGAGGGGACAAGGAGAAGAGCUACCCGCCUUCACCUCCUCCCGUGAGCAAGGGCAUCGAGGUGACUAGCUGGACUGCUGAUGCUUCCCGCGGCCUGCGGUUCAUCGUGUACGACUUAGCUGGUGACGAAAGUUAUGAGGUGAUCCAGCCCUUCUUCCUCUCCCCGGGAGCCCUCUAUGUGCUGGUGGUGAACUUGGCCACCUAUGAGCCACCGCGCUUUCGCACCACCGUGGGCUCCUUCUUGCAUCGGGUGGGGGCCCGGGUGCCUCACGCCGUGGUGUGCAUUGUGGGCACGCACGCAGACCUGUGCGGUGAGCGGGAGCUGGAGGAGAAGUGUCUGGACAUCCACCGCCAGAUCGCCCUGCAGGAGAAGCACGACGCGGAGGGGCUGAGCCGUCUGGCCCAGGUGGUGGACGAGGCACUGGCCAGGGACUUUGAGCUGCGCUCUGCCAGCCCCCACGCAGCCUACUAUGGUGUUUCGGACAAGAACCUUCGGCGGCGCAAGGCCCAUUUUCAGUACUUGCUCAACCACCGGCUGCAGAUUCUCUCUCCAGUGUUGCCUGUUAGCUGCAGGGACCCCCGCCAGUUACGGCGCCUGCGGGACAAACUGCUCUCAGUAGCUGAGCACCGGGAAAUCUUCCCCAACUUACACAGAGUACUGCCUCGAUCCUGGCAGGUGCUGGAGGAACUGCAUUUCCAGCCACCUCAGGCGCAACGGCUCUGGCUAAGCUGGUGGGACUCGGCGCGCCUGGGCCUGCAGGCGGGUCUGACGGAGGACCGGCUGCAGAGUGCCCUCUCUUACCUGCACGAGAGCGGCAAGCUGCUCUACUUUGAGGACAGCCCGGCCCUCAAGGAGCACGUCUUCCACAACCUCACCCGCCUCAUCGACAUCCUCAAUGUCUUUUUCCAGAGGGAUCCUUCCUUGCUGCUGCAUAAGCUGCUGCUAGGGACCAGCGGAGAGGGUGAGGGCGAGGGGGAAAGCUCCCCACUGAUGGCGCUGCCCACCCCGAGCCAGGACCUGCUCCGGGCCACCCAGCUCCAUCAUUAUGUGGAGGGCUUUCUGCUCCAUGGGCUCUUGCCAGCCCAUGUCAUUCGGUUGCUGCUUAAGCCUCAUGUCCAGGCCCAGCAGGACUUGCAGCUGCUGCUGGAGCUGCUGGAGAAAAUGGGACUCUGUUACUGCCUCAAUAAACCCAAGGGCAAGCCUUUGAAUGGGUCCAGGGCCUGGUACAAGUUCCCAUGCUAUGUGCAGAACGAGGUGCCCCAUGCAGAGGCCUGGAUUAAUGGGACCAACCUGGCCGGGCAGUCUUUUGUGGCUGAGCAGCUGCAGAUUGAAUAUAGUUUUCCCUUUACCUUCCCACCUGGGUUGUUUGCACGCUACAGUGUCCAGAUCAACAGCCAUGUGGUGCACAGGUCGGAUGGGAAACUUCAGAUCUUUGCCUAUCGAGGGAAAGUUCCUGUGGUGGUGAGUUACAGACCUGCCAAGGGGGUCUUGCAGCCAGACACUCUGUCCAUUGCCAGCCAUGCAUCAUUACCAAACAUAUGGACGGCAUGGCAAGCCAUAACCCCGUUGGUGGAGGAGCUGAACGUCCUACUUCAGGAAUGGCCUGGACUGCACUACACCGUGCACAUUCUCUGUUCUAAGUGCCUUAAGAGAGGGUCGCCCAAUCCACAUGCUUUCCCAGGGGAGUUGCUGAGUCAGCCCAGACCAGAAGGCGUGGCAGAGAUCAUUUGCCCCAAGAACGGCAGUGAGCGAGUGAAUGUUGCCUUGGUCUACCCACCUACACCGACUGUGAUCAGCCCCUGUUCCAAGUAUCUCCAUACUUUCUUGGAAAAUUAAGUGGAAAAGAUAGUGCUUCUUUCCCUUAUGCCAUCAUUUUUACUGUACCCAAUCUGUGACUUUAGGAGCACCAAUUUUUAAGGGAAGAACGUUGGUGAAAAGCACAGAAACCAGUGACUUUUAUGGCUGUGGAAUUUCCAUGGAGAAAAGAGAGCAUCAGAACUCACCUGGACCAUCUUUCGUACCUGGCCAACCCUUCACACUCCCAAGAGUGUCCGUGAACUUGGGUGCAUAAGCGUUCAGGGUGCUCUCAGAGGAGGAGCACACCUGGCCUGUGGACGAGGCGGGGAGGGACAGAGGGGAGGGUGGGAGAGGAUAUGGAGCAAAUGUUUUACAACCUGAACCUCAGAACUGUGAUCCUCCAAGGAGAGCGCUACUUGAAGAAAAGCAAAAAAAAGUCGAAUGGCUUCUCAGGGAUUUUGUUUUCCGUGCACAUAUAAGCCAUAGUUCCAAUGCAGGUGGCAGGAUUUAGAGCACUCAGAUUUCAGUUCUGUUCAAUGUGAAAGAGGGAUCGACUGACCAUUCAUUGCUGUUCCAUAACUAGUGUAAAAUAUGUAUAUGUUUAUCUUUAUUUUUAUAAUAUGCAAAUACAUUUAAAUUUAUACAGUUUGAAGCUUCUAGCGCUAGUUAACACUGGGUGCAAUAUUCUGCAUGAGAACUGUGCCAAGGUGGGGCUGGUUUCUUAUUUUAGCGUAAGACCUUUUUGUUCAUUCUUUAUUCUUUAAUCCUUCUCAGAUUAAAAAAAAAGAGAGAUCUCUCUGUCUGCCCAUGGAUUAAGUGUUGGUUCAUAGAAGUUGCCAAUAAUCUGCAAGAACCUUAAACGUGCAUUUCAGGCAAACAUUUGUUUCCCUCCCCUUCUUUUAAAUAAAGGUCCCUGCCUGUACACUGUUGGGCAGGGCAGUGGGAUUAUUCCUUUUCUUUCCCUCACAUGUCACUAGUGCUGGGCAGUGUCCCUUCCUCCAGGUUUGGUGUUGACUGUGGGUUGUCACAGCUGAUGUGCUGAUGGAGGCCUGGUGUUGGGAUUCUCCAGGGAGGGGCACAGAUGGGUCAGCGAGUUCUUAGAAAACCUGUGUCUUUCAAUAGCUUCAGAUAAUCAGGAGUCAGUACUAAAACAUGCAAAGAGCUCUGCUCAUAAGUCCUUUUUUUUCUGGAACAGUCUGAAAUUUAGCAGAGCACUUCGAAAGCCCUCCACAUCUGGCUGUCAGACCUUAAGAUAGUGAGUUGCCUAAUUGGAAAGCAUAAUCCCACAUUGGUUAUUUAUAAAUACACAGCCUCUGAUUGGACCCUCUACUGCCCGGAGCUAGUAAAAGCCUUGUUU